rnacentral:misc_RNA from 1 species
GUAUUUUGAAUUAAGUUAUUCAUAAUAUUUUUCAGACAAAAUCACUAAAGUUCUGAGUAGAUAUAAAUCCCAAAGGUGACCAAACGGAUUUUUACAGCCGCUGACCUCCAGUGAGAUGACAUUGCACACAAGGUGGAUAUGGAUUUUUGAAAGUGCCAUAAAAACACUUGAUUAUGAAUGAUCCUUCCGCAGGUUCACCUACGGAAA